AGUAUUAGUAAGCUGUGCGGCAGGCCUAACACAUGCAAGUCGAACGGUAGCACAGAGAGCUUGCUCUUGGGUGACAAGUGGCGGACGGGUGAGUAAUGUCUGGAAAACUGCCUGAUGGAGGGGGAUAACUACUGGAAACGGUAGCUAAUACCGCAUAACGUCGCAAGACCAAAGAGGGGGACCUUCGGGCCUCUUGCCAUCAGAUGUGCCCAGAUGGGAUUAGCUAGUAGGUGGGGUAACGGCUCACCUAGGCAACGAUCCCUAGCUGGUCUGAAAGGAUGACCAGCCACACUGGAACUGAAACCCGGUCCAAACUCCUACGGGAGGCAGCUGUGGGGAAUAUUGCACUAUGGGCGCAAGCCUGAUGCAACCAUGCCGCGUGUAUGAAGAAU
rnacentral:rRNA from 1 species